rnacentral:lncRNA from 1 species
GAAACUAUCUGAUAUCAAAGUAAUAAAAAAUAUUUAGAGUUUUACAGCUACUUUACUACGCCCCAGUUAAAUAUUAUUAACCGAGUGCGCAACAAUGACAGAAUUAAGAAAACCAUCAAAAUAGUAUGAUACUCCGUAUAAUAUUGGAAGAGUCAACUCGAACGCUUAUAGCUGAUCUGAACUGAACUGCACGAGGCAUUGUAAAAUGUGUACACAAGAUUUUUGUAUUUCUUGAAAUGACAUAUUAUCUUCUAUUAUUAUUGUCAUAAAUGAUAUAGUUAUUGUUGUCAUAAAUUGUUGUCAUAAAUAGUAUAAUUAUUGAAUAUACUUAUAUAAAUAGUGUUGCAUUGAUUUUUGACAGGCUGAUAAUUUUAUACAAGCUAAAGACGACCAUUUUUUAAAUAUAAUUUUACUUUAGUGCUCUACCAACAAUCAUAAAUUUACUUUAUCUACAAUAAAAUAUGGUUUUAACUUAAAGUAAACUUUUGUCAUUUAAACUUUACUAUGUUGAUCAUUACCUAAUAGUGUAAAAAAAAAAUUAAUACGUCGCAAUCAA